CGUUGUGCUGGGAGCUCCACUAGGGCACACCUGACUUUCUCCUGGCAGUCAUUACAGGCGUGAGCAGAACCAGGUUGUGUCCUCGUAUCUGUAUCACUCAAACAUCUCCCUUCUCAGGUGGCGACUUGUCCAAGGUGUACCCCGCCUUCCGCCCCAAUGCAGCUGAGAUAGGCUCCAGCAACCCCCGCGACCCCAAAAGGGACAAGCGGUAGAAAAAUGGAUGGAUGGAUGGAGACAUCUUCAAAUACUGUUACACCAAGGUUCACCAUACCAAAAGGUCUUAGUUUAAGUGUACACACAGCAGCGAUGCAGUUUUCAGCCUUAAGGUGAAGUACUCUCAGCUGUGGUCGUCAAUACUCACUGACAAAAUGUUGCCCGCUGAUGUGCACCGGUCCUGACCCUGACAGGAGACGUAAGGUGACUGGCGGCGUGAUCUCAAAGCCACCUAAAGUCAUCUGGGGGACAUGAGAGACGGAUGAUAUUUUCUUCAGACCACUUCAAGUGUGACUUCAUUGCUUGUUCACUCACAGAGGGAAGGACGGAUGGCUUCAGCACAACCAGCGGCACUUUGGUGGUCUUUCCGUCAUAAGUCAGGGCCUCCACUUCCACCAUGUGGAACUUGUCCUCGGCCUCGGCUCCCAAGCACGCCUACAAGAACCCAGCCUUUAUCUACCACAAACUUCUGCCAUGCUACUAAUAUAUUUGCAGGUCAUGGCUGUCUUAAAGGGCAACUGCACUUUUUUGGAAUGUUGCCAAUUAUUUACAAUCCUUAUGUAAGACAAGAACACAUGUUUAUUCUUUUUUUUUAUGCACUUACUCGUAAAUAAACCUCAGCAAAAAUG